GGUUUCUCGCAUGAGAGACUUUUUAAAGAAUUUCGGUGGAAGAUGGGGAUGCGUUCCAUUAGGCAGUUGGCGGGGUAACGGCCCACCAAACCGACGAUGGAUAGGGGUUCUGAGAGGAAGGUCCCCCACAUUGGAACUGAGACACGGUCCAAACUCCUACGGGAGGCAGCAGUGAGGAAUAUUGGUCAAUGGACGAGAGUCUGAACCAGCCAAGUAGCGUGAAGGAUGACUGCCCUAUGGGUUGUAAACUUCUUUUAUACGGGAAUAAAGUGAAGCACGUGUGCUUUUUUGUAUGUACCGUAUGAAUAAGGAUCGGCUAACUCCGUGCCAGCAGCCGCGGUAAUACGGAGGAUCCGAGCGUUAUCCGGAUUUAUUGGGUUUAAAGGGAGCGUAGGCGGAAGUUUAAGUCAGUUGUGAAAGUUUGCGGCUCAACCGUAAAAUUGCAGUUGAUACUGGAUUUCUUGAGUGCGGUAUAGGUAGGCGGAAUUCGUGGUGUAGCGGUGAAAUGCUUAGAUAUCACGAAGAGCUCCGAUUG
rnacentral:rRNA from 1 species